ACUCAAAUGAAUUGACGGGGGCCCGCACAAGCGGCGGAGCAUGUGGAUUAAUUCGAUGCAACGCGAAGAACCUUACCUGGGUUUGACAUACACCGGAAACGCCUAGAGAUAGGUGCCCCCUUGUGGUCGGUGUACAGGUGGUGCAUGGCUGUCGUCAGCUCGUGUCGUGAGAUGUUGGGUUAAGUCCCGCAACGAGCGCAACCCUUGUCUUAUGUUGCCAGCACGUAAUGGUGGGGACUCGUAAGAGACCGCCGGGGUCAACUCGGAGGAAGGUGGGGACGACGUCAAGUCAUCAUGCCCCUUAUGUCCAGGGCUUCACACAUGCUACAAUGGCCAGUACAGAGGGCUGCGAUACCGCGAGGUGGAGCGAAUCCCUUAAAGCUGGUCUCAGUUCGGAUUGGGGUCUGCAACUCGACCCCAUGAAGUCGGAGUCGCUAGUAAUCGCAGAUCAGCAACGCUGCGGUGAAUACGUUCCCGGGCCUUGUACACACCGCCCGU
rnacentral:rRNA from 1 species